GCCGAGGUAGCUCAAUUGGUGGAGCAGUCCCUUCGUAAGGGACAGGUUGUCGGUUCAAGUCCGAUCCUCGGCU
rnacentral:tRNA from 1 species